rnacentral:rRNA from 1 species
UACGUAGGGGGCAAGCGUUGUCCGGAAUCAUUGGGCGUAAAGAGCGUGUAGGCGGCUCGAUAAGUCUGCUGUGAAAGUCCAGGGCUCAACCCUGGAAGGCCGGUGGAAACUGUCGGGCUAGAGUCCGGAAGAGGCGAGUGGAAUUCCCGGUGUAGCGGUGAAAUGCGCAGAUAUCAGGAGGAACACCGGUGGCGAAGGCGGAUCUCUGGGCCAUUACUGACACUGAGGUGCGAAAGCGUGGGGAUCAAACAGG